UGUUCCCUGCGGUGCGCGUGAUGGGUAUUAAGUCUUGAGCCAACACCCAACUAUAGGGAGCCCGGUUCGGCUACCGGCUUCUACCGAUAGUCGACAGGCGCCCACCUUAACCCUGGGUUCAGAGACUUUUUCCCACACGGCACAUGCAGGGAACUU
rnacentral:other from 1 species